CGGACGGGUGAGUAACGCGUGGAGAACCUGCCGUAUACUGGGGGAUAACACUUAGAAAUAGGUGCUAAUACCGCAUAAGCGCACAGCUUCGCAUGAAACAGUGUGAAAAACUCCGGUGGUAUACGAUGGAUCCGCGUCUGAUUAGCUGGUUGGCGGGGUAACAGCCCACCAAGGCGACGAUCAGUAGCCGGCCUGAGAGGGUGAACGGCCACAUUGGGACUGAGACACGGCCCAAACUCCUACGGGAGGCAGCAG
rnacentral:rRNA from 1 species